rnacentral:rRNA from 1 species
CCUACGGGCGUCAGCAGUGGGGAAUAUUGGGCAAUGGGCGCAAGCCUGACCCAGCAACGCCGCGUGAAGGAAGAAGGCCCUCGGGUUGUAAACUUCUUUUAACAGGGACGAAAACAGUGACGGUACCUUUUGACUAAGCCACGGCUAACUACGUGCCAGCAGCCGCGGUAAUACGUAGGUGUCAAGCGUUAUACGGAUUUACUGGGUGUAAAUGGCGUGUAGGCGGGAGAGCAAGUCAGACGUGAAAUUCCAGGGCUCAACCCUGGAACUGGGUUUGAUACUGUUCGUCUUGAGUGAUGGAGAGGUAGGCGGAAUUCCGGGUGUAGCGGUGAAAUGCGUAGAUAUACGGAGGAACACCAGUGGCGAAGGCGGCCUGCUGGACAUUAACUGACGCUGAGGCGCGAAAGCGUGGGGAGCAAACAGGAUUAGAUACCCCAGUAGUC